AGUGAGCGCUGGCGGUAGGCCUAACACAUGCAAGUCGAACGGCAGCACAGUAAGAGCUUGCUCUUACGGGUGGCGAGUGGCGGACGGGUGAGGAAUACAUCGGAAUCUACUUUUUCGUGGGGGAUAACGUAGGGAAACUUACGCUAAUACCGCAUACGACCUACGGGUGAAAGCAGGGGAUCUUCGGACCUUGCGCGAUUGAAUGAGCCGAUGUCGGAUUAGCUAGUCGGCGGGGUAAAGGCCCACCAAGGCGACGAUCCGUAGCUGGUCUGAGAGGAUGAUCAGCCACACUGGAACUGAGACACGGUCCAGACUCCUACGGGAGGCAGCAGUGGGGAAUAUUGGACAAUGGGCGCAAGCCUGAUCCAGCCAUACCGCGUGGGUGAAGAAGGCCUUCGGGUUGUAAAGCCCUUUUGUUGGGAAAGAAAAGCAGCAGGUUAAUACCCCGCUGUUCUGACGGUACCCAAAGAAUAAGCACCGGCUAACUUCGUG
rnacentral:rRNA from 1 species